rnacentral:lncRNA from 1 species
GUAUUGCUUGUAAGGUUAAUUGUAUGUCUGGUACAUUUGACAAGGGGGUAGGUGUCAGAGCAAAAUGAUCAAAAAUGAGCAAAGAAAUGCUAAUUUCACAUGCUGACCGCUUUAACCAUAAGGUGCAUUGAAAUAAACAAAAACUGAAAGCCCCCAACAGAAACUUUUUGUCAUAUUCAUUAAGAUUUUCCUUGAAUAGUUAAAAAAGUCUACCGUCAGUUUAAAUCUGACAUGUGUUAGACUGAAAAUAAGAGAGGUUUUAAACUAUCAGUCAUUGAAAUAGUGAAACAAAUAACAAAAUCAAGUCAUACGAUUCAGAUGUUUUUUUUCUUCCUCCACUUCCUGGAAAGUUUAUCUUCCUUCUUCCCUGAUAGCAUGUUUUCCAAAACUGGGUAUCUCGUGUGCAUUUCUGCAUUGUGGUGUUCCUCAUGGAUCCGUUCUUGAUCCUCUCCAGUUUUAUUUGCACAUAAUUCAGAUUUUUUCAGAUUAAUUUUACGAAGCAAGGCAAAUCCAGCUUUGCACAACCUUAGAGGUCUGACAAAAAAAAGUUACAGGGACAGAGGAUAUGUUCCUGAAUUUCACUUCAUGAAGGCACCAUUAGGCUGAAUCUCUGAAUCAGUCGAACGCACAUACAUUUUUCACCCUAAUGGUUAUGAGCAUUUUCUGUUAUAACCUUUUAGAUGAAGAGAUAUUUUAAAAAAGAUGUGACACUUUACUCCAGAUAAUGACACACAGAGCGUUGUUUACAUUCUCUAAGAGGACAGAUUAUCAUCAGCCUGCACAGCUACAGGUGAAUUGCAGGCAAAUCAGUCCUGAAACUUUGAGAAAACAUCAGACAUUUGCAAAUGAAAUGAUGGGCGGGGUUUGAGUGGGGGGUAUUAACAGUCAGUAAUCAACUGCAUCCUACAGAAAGCAGUAUGAAACUGAAACAAACUACUGUGGACUGGUUUUCGUAAAAUGCAGAGCUUUUCUCUGGAUGUCUGGUGUAGAGCAAAGAAAGUGGCAUCAAACUCUCACACAUAUUUAAGCUGCUUUAGCAUUUGGUUUAUGCCUCGCCUCCACUUUGAUAAUCCCUCGAGACCCGCUGUGGGUGAUUGUGUGAAAGAGAUGAAAAUAAAUGUGCGAUAAAAACCUCAAAACACAGGAGCAUAACAUGAAAAGAAACACUGUGGGUGAAAACAAACGGCUUAGUUGGAGACAAAGGGGGCUUAAAAGAUGCUAUCAGCCAUUUACAAAGUUUCUCCUCAAACAUACUGAGACAGAAACUAACUGUAACCCCCCUCCCCCCUCACUCACUCUCUCUCACACACAACCUCCUGCUCCUGGAUCCUGGUUUAUUGUUUAUUUAUCCCAGUGGAAGGACACCUGCUUCUCCUGGAGCUUGUUUGUAUUUGCACUGAGGACAUGGGAUAAUACAGUCAGGGAGGGAUACAAGGUUUGUGUGUGUGUGGUUUCAAGUAACUGUAUGAGUGUGUGAGGGGGAGUCUGGGAAUAUCUGCCCUGGCUGCUGAUGGUGGGUUUAAGUAGGUGCUGACCUGACAAAAAGAAGAAAGGGUAAUCCAUGGAGGAACAACAGGCAGGACAGCAAGACUGCAAAUUAAAGCAAAGGGUUAAACCUAGAAAAACAACUACUAAGUAAUUUGUAAAGGUGGAAGAUAUGCAGAAGAUAUGAAUAAAACAAGUACAUUACUCUAUAUGUUGUUUCUGCUCUGAAAAAUGUCCUUCUUGACAGUUUGAAAGAUAUAUCAUGUGUUUUAAUGACUAUGCACAGUUUAUUUGGCAUGUUAGUAACUUCUUGAGGUGGAACUACUUGUAACUUUGACCUCUAGAAAAGGCCACAGUGUUUACCUGACUGCUGGAAAAAAACAGCAUCCAAGUAAGCAAAGUAAAUUUAACUGUUUAAAACUGUGCGGCCCAUUUCCUUUUCACUCAAGAACACUGGACAAAAAUGACCCAAACCUGAAUGAACCAGAAACCAAGGCAUAGAAUUAAUCAAAGGGCAAGUAUGCACCUCGUUCUGCUGAUGAUGUUAUAUAACUAAACCUCUGUUGUGUUUGUUAAACUGACCGAUCAAUUAAGCACUUGUUCGGCUCUAAUAUUCAUGACACAAAGUCACAACUUUUUGGUUCCUCUCGAACUUUUGUAUGUGUGUUUAGAAAAAGGGGUGUGUGAGCCAAGUGGUAACCCCUAGUCUUGAGAAAUUCAGCUGAAAUGUGGAAGACUGCAGUUUUCAGAGUGCCUGUUCACGCUACAAGAUCAGCAAAUCAGACACAUGGCUGAUUUGACUAAAAGGUGGGCACACUCUCGCCAUUUGUGUGGAGACUGAAGGCCCACCCGUGGCAGGUCAACUAAAUACUACGCUAGGUCAGCAUUACCAAUAUGGUGGCAGCCUCAAACAGGAGACAUCAUGGAACUAUGUCCAACCGUUAAGCAGUGAUUGGUAAAAACACACAUGAGUAUGUCCCAUACAAGCAUAUAUCAACUUUUCUGACAAAAAAAAACACAUCCCAUGUUAUAUAAACAAUUAGAAAUAUCUGUUAUCAGGUAAUUGUUUUUCAUGAAAUGGCUGAUGGCUGAAAUGGCAUCAAUAUAUACUUCUGCAAGCGAGUUGUCAUUUCAAUUAAUUUCAGUGCAUAGAAACAAUCUAUCUUGUUGCUGAAGAUCUAGUUUGCUUUUGUUAGCUUUAUAGUAGCAUCAAUGUAAGUUUUGGUCUGUUUUGUAGGCCCAUAAAACACCUCACAGGAGCUUAAAAAAUCAUCUCAAUUUCAUCCAAAGCAGAAUAAGAACUCAUUAGCGAGUUUGUUUGGUCUGUUGCUUCAAUCGAAGUGGUUCUCUCUCUCUCUCUUUCUAACAGAAACUCCCACCCGCUUCCUGUUGUUCCUGGUGUUCAACAGCCUGAGGCAGAGGGAUGAUCUCAUGACUGUUUAGAGUGACACAAUCAUACAGUGAGAAAUGAAAAGCAAAGCAAUAGACCACAGAUAAUUGAACAUGUGGGUAUACCAUCUAAACUCGCUAAUGUGUAGUCUGGAUGGGGUCGAUCCCAACAGUCUCCAACGACUCAAACCCUGCAGGAUGUUUGUGUUACCUUCGUUCAUUUACUCAGUGGGAUCCCUUCUCCUUUCAUCUCUUACAUCCCUCUUUUUUCCUCCUCCCUCGUGGAAGACAGUUAGUUUUUAACGCCACUCUAGGCAGCAAACCAGGAUGGAAAUAAGAUGCAAAUCUUCUCCCACUUUGUCUAGCAUGCUAGCACUCGUCUGAGCAGAGCUGUAACCGCACUGAGGUUUAUCUGAGUACCACCGGACCUCUGUCAGUUUGGGCUCAUGGUGAAGAUUGCUGUUGUUGGGUAAACAGGAGAAGAGUCUGUAUGAACAAUGACAGAGUGUUGGGAGGUGUUUGGAGAUCAUUAUCAUGUUGUCGCUCGCUGUCUGCCUGAAUGUUAACAGACACUGUUAAGGUCUGAAUCGAUGUGAGCUGUGUUAGACUACCUCUAAUAUUCACUCAGCUAUACCUGGAUGACAGAUGGGUCUGAUCCACAAACAUUAUUUUAUUGACAUUGUGGGAUCGUCAUCACUUCUGUGUAACUGAUCAUUGUGGCUGACUGUUUGUUGUUGCAGCUUCAUCAGUCAGGACUUAAUCACUUUGUCAUUCUUGGAUCAUUUCUUGAUUUAAGAGUUUCAAUCUGAGGAUUUUUCCGCAUUAAGGAUUGAGUAACAGGGCCUGGAUUAUUGUGGUGUUUUCUGGUGUUUUGCUGAGGCCAGGGUUAGAUGCUAUCACACUGAUGACAGUAAAAACAGUCACAGACUGAGGGCACGGCAGACCCGCAUGCUGCUGUGCAACUCCUUAAACACUUGUGAUCAUGCACACACACACACACACACACACACACACACACACACACACACACACACACACACACACACACACACACACACACACACACACACACGCACACACGCACAUACAGCGAGAGAAAGAGAGUGCAGGAAACAGGUCAGGACUUUUUUCCAGGUGUUAUUGGAUUCUGGGAUUCUUGGAUUGUUUUGCUUCACAACACGGCUGAUGUUUUAGCCCUGAGCUGUGGAUACAACUGACCAUCCAGUCUGACUAAAGAGACCGUUAUUGUAAACAGACAGAAGCAGAUGAUGUUGAAGAACUCAAAUGUUCUAUAAAUUGAUCUGUUAGUUGAUAGACUAUUAAUUAAUCUGCAUAAACAGUAAAGGAUUAAUGAUAUUUUCUUUUAUUAUCUCAACCAACACCUUUUUUCCUUUUAUUCAAUGACCAUGAUUUUCUCAAAAACCCUCAUAUGGACGUUUUGCUCGGAGCACGUGCAGUCGUACAUUAGAUGUCUAAAACAUCUAGUAAAACUCAGACUAGCGUCAGAGUUUAAAGCUUCUUUAAGGAACUUUUAUCUCCCUUUGAUUUUGGCACCCCCUGUGGACAAAGCUUUUCUUACCUCUUUGCUCAUUUUAUUAAGUAAAAUGUAUGUUUCAUAUCAAGACAUAAUUAGGAAAUAACAUCAAUGACUCAAUAAAAUAACAUAUAGAAAAACACCUAUACAACUGAGCAAAUUCCAAUAAAAUUUGAUCAUAUUUUUCAACCCUUUACAGAGACAGGAGGUCCUCAUUUUUUGUCUUUUCAAAUUCAGGCAAUUGGUACAUCUAAAAUAUAUGUACACAGAUAUAUGCUUUUGACUUCCAAGUAUCAUCCAUCCAUCUAUACAUCCAUCCACUUUCUACCGCUUAUUCCCCUUUGGGGUCAUGGGGGGGCUGGAGCCUAUCCCAGCACGUUCAGGGUGCAGGGGACACCCCGGACAAGUCGCCAGUUCAUCGCAGGGCUGACAUAUAGAGACGAACAACCAUCCACGCUCACAUUCACACCUACGGGCAAAUUGACAGUGGCCAAUUAACCUAACCCCACUUCUGCAUGAUUUUGGGAUGUGGGAGGAAACUGCAGUAGCCGGAGUAAACCCACGCAGACACAGGGAGAACAUGCAAACUCCACACAGAAACGCCCUGACCCGGAUUCUAACCCAGGACCUUCUUGCUGCGAGGCGACAGUGCAUACCACUACACCACUGUGCUCCCCCUGGAUUUAUACAAACAUAGAAAAAAAGGAGAACUGCUUUUCUGUUGACAUAAAAGAUUACUCUGUGCCGUUGAUAUAAAAAAAAAUCAUGUAAUCCACAGUAAAAAAGGUCCCAACUGAAGCUCCUGACGCUGGUAAAAAAAAAUCCGGUUAAAACAUGAUCUAAUAAAACUCCUGUCAGGAACUCUGAAUCCAUUUUGACACCCCAGCAAACAAAGUGAUACCUCUUAUCUCUCAGCUGUACAUGUCAAGGUAGGUACAAAAAAAUCUCCUGCUUUUUCAAACAUAUUGAUGAAAAAGAAGUUCAGUUUGUUUGAUAAAAGGCUGAAAACUUGAAACUUUACUGAAAGUGAACAAAUACCCUCAGAAAUAGAUGUUUUGUGUAACAUUUUUUUUUUUGUUUUUAUGUACGUUCUCAUCGCUCAAAGGUGACAAGCUGAGAAGCCCAGACAGUCACCUGAGCCCUGUACUGUAGAUCAGCUCCACAGGCCUAGACAUUUUCUUAAAAUGCCAGUGAGGGAUGUUUGCAGGUUGCACAUACCCGAAAUGCACAAACUUUGCCCCUUUCUCCCCCAUUUAUCUUCUCUUUCCAGCACUUCACAGGUUGAGCCAAGUCUCCAUUCUGUUAUCCUCCCCCCAUUAAAAGUGACACAUAACCUACUAGUUUGUUUUUACCGACAGGCACAAGUGUGAGGCUUUUAUAAGUAGCUGGUGCUGGGUGUGUGUUCGUAAGAAUGAAGGCAAACUGAACACACGACAUUCUUAGGAGAUCAUGGACGAUUCAAGAAGCUAUUUUAAGACUCACAUCUAUGGGAAAUCGUCAACAGCUUACAAAGUUCAUAUAGAGGCACGCAUUUCAUCUUACAAAGAGACGUCAGUUACUGGAUCUUUGAAUCAACAGGCCAAACAGUGAUUAAACACUCUGUUCAGAUCAUGUUUUCUAGUUGAGAAAGAAAUACCAUCAGACUCCUUAUUGAGGCUCAAAAAAGCGAGGGUUUGUUUUUAUAUUUAUAUUGAUCAUUUAGUACUUGAAGUUAACCUGUUGAUGUUAAAGUCUCCACUUUUUAGAGUGAUCGAAAAGCCCAUUUUUUCCAGACCUCUCUCGUGACUAAGUGGCUCCUUCACCAACACAAAGAUGACAAAGCAAACAUUAUUUGUCCAUCGCAUGAAGCUGAAUGGGGUAUUUUUAGAGAUUCAUGGAUGGGACUGGUGAGGUGACUUGCAACUGAAGGCGGUUAUUGUUGAAGAAAGCGUGGGAGACUGACAAACAAGCUCUGCAGCUUGUCACCUGGUCAAGCCACCCAGUCCAGUUUGGUUUCUGCCGUGAUUGAUUUUUACUGGCCCUCAUCGAACACAAUCACAGCCUCCUCACUGUACAACAAGGGGAAGAAAAGUGUAACAGAACACAUAUACCAUUAUAUGAUUGCACUUAUUCACCUGCACGCUAUCACUAAAAUUCAGUACAAAGAAAUGAGUAAUCAUGUUCGUGAUAAUCUCAUGUUAAAAUCGAGGUUGAGUAUCAGUAUGAGAGUAAGAUUUUAACUCUUGCAGAAUUUUAAAGGUUAAUUAUAAGGAGACAAAAGUUUAAAAGAAAUUUAAAUUGUGAAUUUUUCUGCAGUAGUAUAGUGAAGAAUGAAUGACAUAGAAACAAUAAAGUGCUGUGUUAGUUAGGAAGAAAGGAAACAGGAGCAUAGAGUGUGAGUAUUCUGGAAAGCUUGUCAUGAAAUACCACAUUUUAUAUUAGAGUGCUGUUCACCUCAGAGAGAAGUCUGUUUUUUUUUAAGCCACUGACAGCAAAAGUGAAGAGAGAAGGGCGUAAAAAGGUUGGUUUCGUGAAGCAGUCAGGACUUCUU